CAGCCGCCGCGGUAAUACGUAGGGUGCGAGCGUUAAUCGGAAUUACUGGGCGUAAAGCGUGCGCAGGCGGUUGUGUAAGACAGGUGUGAAAUCCCCGGGCUUAACCCGGGAACUGCGCUUGUGACUGCACAGCUAGAGUAUGGCAGAGGGGGGUGGAAUUCCACGUGUAGCAGUGAAAUGCGUAGAGAUGUGGAGGAACACCGAUGGCGAAGGCAGCCCCCUGGGCCAAUACUGACGCUCAUGCACGAAAGCGUGGGGAGCAAACAGGAUUAGAUACCCCCGUAGUCCCUGUCUCUUAUAC
rnacentral:rRNA from 1 species